GGGGAACCUUUUAAGGGAAGGACGGAGUGAAGGGAGCGGACGGACUCCCCGGAGUGUCGGGCCAUGUUCGCCGGCUUGCAGGAGCUCGGGGUGGCCAACGGGGAAGACCUGAAAGAGACGCUGACCAACUGCACGGAGCCGCUGAAGGCCAUCGAGCAGUUCCAGACCGAGAACGGCAUCCUGCUGCCCACCCUCCAGUCAGCGCUGCCUUUCCUGGACCUCCAUGGCACCCCGAGGCUGGAGUUCCACCAGUCCGUCUUCGACGAGCUGCGAGAGAAGCUUCUGGAGAGGAUCUCUGCCAUCGCCUCAGAAGGAAAGGCAGAAGAAAGGUACAAAAAGCUGGAAGAUCUGCUGGAGAAGAGUUUCCCUUUAGUCAAGAUGCCUUCCAUCCAGCCGGUGGUCAUGUGUGUCAUGAAACACCUCCCCAAGGUUCCUGAAAAAAAGCUGAAGUUGGUAAUGGCCGACAAAGACCUGUACAAAGCCUGCGCUGUGGAGGUGAAGCGUCAGAUCUGGCAAGAUAACCAGGCUCUUUUUGGCGACGAAGUCUCCCCGCUGCUGAAGCAGUACAUCCUGGAGAAGGAGACUGCUCUGUUCAGCUGCGACCUCUCCGUCCUGCAUAAUUUCUUCAGUCCCUCACCCAAGACCCGGCGCCAGGGAGAGGUGGUUCAAAAGCUCACGCAGAUGAUUGGGAAGAACGUGAAGCUUUACGACAUGGUGCUCCAGUUCCUGAGGACCCUCUUCCUGCGGACGCGCAAUGUCCAUUACUGCACGCUGCGGGCUGAGCUGCUGAUGUCGCUGCACGACCUGGAGAUCAGCGAGAUCUGCACGGUGGACCCCUGCCACAAGUUCACCUGGUGCCUGGAUGCCUGCAUUCGGGAGAAGUUUGUUGACAACAAGCGCGCGCGAGAGCUGCAAGGUUUCCUCGACGGAGUGAAGAAAGGGCAAGAGCAAGUGCUGGGGGACUUAUCCAUGAUCUUGUGCGACCCAUUCGCCAUCAAUACCUUGGCGCUGAGCACCAUCCGCCACUUGCAGGAGCUGGUGGGGCAGGACAUGUUGCCCAGGGAAAGCCCUGACCUUUUACUUCUCUUGAGGAUGUUGUCGCUGGGACAGGGAGCCUGGGACAUGAUUGACAGCCAGAUCUUCAAGGAACCCAAAAUGGAGGUGGACUUGAUCACCAAGUUCUUGCCCUUGCUGAUGUCCUUUGUGGUGGAUGAUUACACCUUCACUGUUGAUCAGAGGCUGCCUUCAGAAGAGAAAGGCCCGGCACCUUAUCCCACCGCCAUCCCAGAAAUGUUUCCAAAAUUUCUGCAGGAGCACCGCAUUGCCUGCGAGAUUGGCCUUUACUAUGUGCUGCAUAUCACUAAGCUGAGGAACAAGAACGCUUUUCUUCGGCUGCUCCCUUCUCUGGUGGAGACUUUCAAUGACCUGGCCUUUGGAGACAUUUUCCUGCACUUGCUCACCGGGAACCUCACUCUCCUGGCUGACGAAUUCGGGCAAGAGGAGUUCUGCACCAGCCUCUUUGACAACGUCUUCCUCCCCGCCUGUUCAAGGAAAGAGAAUGUGCACAGGCACAUGCUGAGGCUGCUGCUUCACCUCCACCACAAAGUGGUCCCUGCCAAGCUGGAGUCCCUGCAGAAAUCCCUCGAGCCCACCAAGCAGAGCGGUGAAGCCGUGAAGGAGCUGUACAACCAGCUGAAUGAGAAACUGGAGCUCCGAAAGCCCAGCCCGGCCCACGCAGCUGAGGCUCCUUCCAUGGACUUGUCCUUGCCCACAGUCCCCACUCCGGCCUCGCUUUAGGCCUGGAAAAGAACAAAAGCUGUUUCCUUCCAAUGUCAACAAGAGAUUGGAUGCUCACCAUGUUCUGUCCAGAAACGUGGAACCCUCAAACAUCUCUUGGGUGCAUUGAUCUUUCCAAGAUGUUGAUGUUCUGCAACUCUUGUCCUGGAACCAGUGGGAUUUGCAGUCUAGCAAGACCACACAGUCCCACCCUCUGAACUAGAAGAGAAUAUUGUGAUCAAGAUUGUGGCAAUGACCUCAACCUGGGAUUUGGGCCCAAAGGAAUGAAAAGAAGACCGGAUCAGGUUUUUCUACAAUCUCAACUGUUUGGCUCCACCUCUUCCUGGAGUAGGACAGAGUUUCCUCCUUUCAUUCCACCAGCAAGCUCUCUAUCAGAUGGACGUAAGAGAGAGACUUGGCUCUAAAAGCCCUUGAUAAAGUUACCUCUCAGCACCAAUUCUGAGGUUCUUACCCUUGAGACCUAUGCUUCAUGUUCAGGGGCAACCUGAACGACGUUGAGGAGUCUCAAGCGCCUUCAAAUCAGUCCUUUGGCAACAGAGGAAGACUGUGUCUUCAAACAUAGGUCAUUGGACUGAGGCUGAGUUUGCUCUGGCAUCCACAGCCAUUGAGAAAAAGGGACCUGGAAAAGCUUCUCAGCUACAAAGCUCCACGGACUUAAAACAACCAAAGACUGUAAUGUAUGUUUUCCUUUACCCCUUUGAAACUUCCAGAUAACCUUUUGUGAACAAUAAACCCAGUUUUUGAGUUAUCUACAGUGUUUCGGUCCUUGGGAGUUCCAGUUUCCCUAAAGGAGGGCAAGAAGCAAUCCCCUGGGGAAAGAUGUCACGUCCAUGCCUUUUUCACUAAGAGUUAUAGCCCCAGGCGCGACGGCACAGUGGGCUUCAGGGCUUCAGAAGAGACAAUGUUGCUUUAAGGACGGCUUUCCUGUCACAGCUCUCAAGUUCAUGAUUCAAGUCUCCUGCUUUUGCCUAUGUUUAUGAUGCAAGUUUCCUGUUUGCCUAUGUUCUUUGAAGGAAUUGCCUUGGAAUAAGUUCGUGAUUUAAUGCUUAUGUCUGAAUGACUGCUGUGGAUUUUGGCUUUCUGGAUUACUGCUAUUUUGUAUUAUUUACUCUUGUGCCGUUUUGGAAAAUGCCCUUUUGUUUCUAUUUGUACCUCCUUUACUAAUCAACCUUUGUAGUUAGCACUACUGGACUGGUGUGGUGCUGGAUGAAAAGGUGUUCCAAGGCUUGAGUGUCCUGAGUCCCUGGAUAGGUUUCCAUAGCUUUGAGGGUUGUUUUUUAAAAAUUUUUUUAUUAUUAUUUUAGAAAUUAUAACAGAUAUUCAUUAAAGUGAAAAACAAGAAGUAAAAUAAAAUACACACAUAUAAAAAAUACAGAAAGAUAUAAAGAUUUGCACUGUAGUGUACAGCCAGCGCUCGUUAAACUAAUGGAUAUUCACAGAUUGGCUGUGCUAUUGUUAUACCUUAACUUGACCUUGUCCCCCAAACCCCUCACCCGUGAACCCAACCCCCUAGACCUCCGAUACCCCUCAGUAAGUAUCACGUAACUAACCGUCAACUACCCAUGUAUCUUCUUUCGCUAAAUCCCCUUUAUAGCAGUCAUCAAAUCUACCUUUGUCUUCUUUUCCAGAUACCCAAGUGCCAGCCUCCAUUUGUUUACAAAAUCCUCAUUAUUUCCUCCUCUGUUACUAUUUGUCAGCUUGGCCAUUUGGAUAUAUUCCCCCAGUUUAUCUCUCCAGUCUUUAAUACCUACCCUGUUUCCCCUAAAAUAAGACAUCCCCAAAAAAUAAGACCUAGUAGAGGUUUUGAUGAAUUGCUAAAUAUAAGGCCUCCCCCGAAAGUAAGACCUAGCAAAGUUUUUGUUUGGAAGCAUGCCCAACAAACAGAACACCAGAGCAUGCAGGAUCAGUAAAUGUACAUACCAUAGAGUGUUGUACAUGGAAAUAAUGGUAGUAACAAGAAAUUCUUGAUAGGAUUCAGUUUGUUUGGUUAUGCUGGUUUGUGAUGACAACUACUGUACAGUAUAUAAUAAAUGUUCAUUUUGGUUUGUGAUGACAACUACAGUACACUACAGUAUAUAAUAAAUGUUUAUUUUUGUUGUUCUACAAUAAAUGUGAAUUCUUCUUCAUGGAAAAAUAAGACAUCCCCUGAAAAUAAGACCUAGUACAUCUUUGGGAGCAAAAAUUAAUAUAAGACACUGUCUUAUAUUUGAGGAAAUACGGUAGUUCUUCUUCCCCCUUCCAUGUUUUAGCUAUUACAGUAGAGUCUCACUUAUCCAACAUAAACGGGCCGGCAGAAUGUUGGAUAAGUGAAUAUGUUGGAUAAUAAGGAGAAAUUAAGAAAAAGCCUAUUAAACAUCAAAAUAGGUUAUGAUUUUACAAAUUAAGCACCAAAACAUCAUGUUAUACAACAAAUUUGACAGAAAAAGUAGUUCAUUACACAUUAAUGCUAUGUAGUAAUUACUGUAUUUACGAAUUUAGCACCAAAAUAUCAUGAUAUAUUGAAAACAUUGACUACAAAAAUGCGUUGGAUAAUCCAGAACGUUGGAUAGGUGAGACUCUACUGUAUUAGUCUUGCUGCAACAAAACAAUAUUGGCAAAUUUCUUUGUCUCCUGCACUAAUUAAUACGCCUUCUAAAUAAACCUAAUAAGCACA